rnacentral:lncRNA from 1 species
GGGCUCGGGGCUGUAGCCGAGGGUUCCGCCGGCGCCCGCCCGCCCUCUCGGUAGACCCUCGCCCGCGCGUCCCGGCGCGCCGCCACAGACCUGCGGCCUCAGCCGUCCUCACGCGCGGCUCCGGGAGGGGAAGGAGGCCGACGGGGCUAGGCGGGAACGGGGCCGCGCCACGGGCCGCAGCGCGCCGCGGGUACAAGGAGGGCAGAACCGCCGCGGAGCUUUGUGGAAAUGAGGGGCUGGGGGGCGUCAACAGCCCCGGGGAGGGGGCGCGCCGGAGAGGCCGGGCGGCUGCCCCCGCGCCCAUAGGCCCCGGGAGCUGUUCGUCAACACUAGGCCCCGCCUCCUCCCGCGGUUCCCCGCCUCGUCUCGUGCUGCGCUGGCCGGAAGGAAGCGGCACACUUCCGCUUGCCUGGUCCGCAUUGAGUCCGGUCUGUUCCGGAGACUCUGAGCGCGGCCGCGGAGCUGCAGUGGCGGGGAGUGGGGUGCGGAUCUUGUGUUUGCGCACGCAGUCGCCGGCCACCUCAGGCCGGAGCUAGAGAUACGGCUCGGGAUAGGAGGGCCCGGCGGCUCUGAGGCAGGUUCGCCUCGAGCCGCACGGCCCGGAGCAGCGGCUCCGCGGUGGUCCCCGGGGCUUGAGAGGGGUGCGGGCCUGGGAGCCCCUGAGGGCCUGAUUUACGGAACUCCCCCUCCUUCCUCCUUUCUGCCGUUCCCUGCUCUGUGGCGGAUGCGCAGGGAUCAGUAGGGACGGCAGCAGUAGGGCCACUCGGGCCUGCCCCGCUUCCCGCAUUGCCCGGUUUGGCGCGCCGCCUCCGGGCCUUGGCAAAGCCCCAGCGCCCGAUUGUCACUGACCAGUGCUUGGAAGUCCUUUACCGACUGCCCGUCAGCGUCCCGCGGAGAGGAUUUUGCGUCUCCAAAGACGCCCCUCUUCCGAAAACAGGCUCCUCUGUGUUCUCAGUCGGGUAUAUUUUUCUGUCUCCAAACUAGAUUGGCAGCCGUUUUUUGAGAGCAGGUACUGACUGUGCUUUAUUUCUAGAUACUUUUCUUAGUCACACCACGGAAAACACUAGGUGGAACCUUUUUUAAAAUUAUUUUUUACAGGUGAGGCUCUCAGUCUGUCGCCCAGGCUGGAGUGCAGUGGUGCUAUCACGGCUCACUGCAACCUCGGCCUCCUGGGCGCAAGCGAUCCUCCCGCCUCAGCCUCCGGAGUAGCUGGGACCACAGGCUCGCACUACUAUGCCCAGCUAAUUUUUAAAUUUUUCGUAGAGAUGGGGGUCUUGCUUUGUCGUCCAGGCUGGAGUGCAGUGGUGUGAUCGUAGCUCACUGCAACCUUAGUCCCCUGUGCCCAAGUGACCCUGCUUCCUCAGCCUCCUGAGUAGCUGAGAUUCAUUUUAAUUUUUAUAGUGAUGGGGUCUCGUUGUGUUGACCAGUCUGGUCUAAAACUCCUGAGUUCAAG